rnacentral:rRNA from 1 species
UCCACCGGAAAAAGAGGAGUGGCGAACGGGUGAGUAACACGUGGGUAACCUGCCCAUCAGAAGGGGAUAACACUUGGAAACAGGUGCUAAUACCGUAUAACAAUCGAAACCGCAUGGUUUUGAUUUGAAAGGCGCUUUCGGGUGUCGCUGAUGGAUGGACCCGCGGUGCAUUAGCUAGUUGGUGAGGUAACGGCUCACCAAGGCCACGAUGCAUAGCCGACCUGAGAGGGUGAUCGGCCACAUUGGGACUGAGACACGGCCCAAACUCCUACGGGAGGCAGCAGUAGGGAAUCUUCGGCAAUGGACGAAAGUCUGACCGAGCAACGCCGCGUGAGUGAAGAAGGUUUUCGGAUCGUAAAACUCUGUUGUUAGAGAAGAACAAGGAUGAGAGUAACUGUUCAUCCCUUGACGGUAUCUAACCAGAAAGCCACGGCUAACUACGUGCCAGCAGCCGCGGUAAUACGUAGGUGGCAAGCGUAGUCCGGAUUUAUUGGGCGUAAAGCGAGCGCAGGCGGUUUCUUAAGUCUGAUGUGAAAGCCCCCGGCUCAACCGGGGAGGGGUCAUUGGAAACUGGGAGACUUGAGUGCAGAAGAGGAGAG